rnacentral:rRNA from 1 species
AGGAUGAACGCUGGCGGCGUGCCUAAUACAUGCAAGUCGAGCGGUAAGGUUCUGCACUUAGCAUUUGACCAGAUCAAGUCUACUCUUGAGUAGAAACUGACUGAAGCAGGGAGCUCCAAGGCUGGAGAACCCGAGUCGAAUUCUGAGUGUAGAAUACACGAGCGGCGGACGGCUGAGUAACACGUAGGAACGUACCCCAAACUGAGGGAUAAGCACCAGAAAUGGUGUCUAAUACCGCAUGUGAUCUUCGGAUUAAAGCUUCGGCGGUUUGGGAACGGCCUGCGUAAGAUUAGCUUGUUGGUGAGGUAAUAGCUCACCAAGGCGACGAUCUUUAGCUGGUCUGAGAGGAUGACCAGCCAGACUGGAACUGAGAACGGUCCAGACUCCUACGGGAGGCAGCAGUAGGGAAUUUUCCACAAUGGACGAAAGUCUGAUGGAGCAACGCCGCGUGCAGGAUGAAUGUCUUCGGAUUGUAAACU